GCCUCGGUAGUGUAAUGGACAAGUAUGGCAGACCGCAUAUUUGUAGGUGCAGGUUCGAGUCCCGCUUGAGGUU
rnacentral:tRNA from 1 species